rnacentral:rRNA from 1 species
GACGAACGCUGGCGGCGUGCUUAACACAUGCAAGUCGAACGGAAAGGCCCUGCUUGUGGUGGGUGCUCGAGUGGCGAACGGGUGAGUAACACGUGAGUAACCUGCCCUUUACUUUGGGAUAACUGCAAGAAACUGGGGCUAAUACCGGAUAGGAGCUCCUGCUGCAUGGUGGGGGUUGGAAAGUUUCGGCGGUUGGGGAUGGACUCGCGGCUUAUCAGCUUGUUGGUGGGGUAGUGGCUUACCAAGGCUUUGACGGGUAGCCGGCCUGAGAGGGUGACCGGCAACAUUGGGACUGAGAUACGGCCCAGACUCCUACGGGGGGAAGCAGUGGGGAAUAUUGACAAAUGGGCGGAAGCCUGAUGAAGCAACGCCGCGUGCGGGAUGACGGCCUUCGGGUUGUAACCCGCUUUCGCAUGUGACGAAGCGUGAGUGACGGUAAUGGGUAAAGAAGCACCGGCUAACUACGUG